AUACAGUUAGCUCAGUUGGUUAGAGCGUGGUGCUAAUAACGCCAAGGUCGCGAGUUCGACCCUCGUAGUGAUCA